rnacentral:rRNA from 1 species
AUGAUCAAACCUGACGGUGUUCAGCGUGGUCUGGUUGGAGAGAUUAUUUCUCGCUUUGAGAAGAAGGGCUUUUUGCUGAAGGGGCUGAAACUUUUUCAGUGCCCCAAAGACUUGGCUCAGGAACAUUACAAGGAUCUUAAGGAGAGACCUUUCUUUCCCAAUUUAAUCGACUACAUAACUUCUGGACCUGUAGUCUGCAUGGCCUGGGAGGGUGAUGGCGUUGUUGCAUCAGCUCGCAAACUGAUCGGAGCUACUAACCCCCUUCAAGCUGAACCAGGGACCAUAAGGGGCGAUCUUGCAGUUCAAACAGGAAGGUUGGCACCCAUCCUUUCCAUGUCCUCACACUAUUAUUUGCAGUACUUCUGUUGCAUUUUAUUUGAUUUCACCUCUAUUUGCACCCUCUAUGUGUAUCAAAGAAAUUAUCAUGGAACGUUGCUUUUCAGGAAUGUCGUCCACGGAAGUGACAGCCCUGAUAACGGCAAGCGAGAAAUCGGUAAGUUUUGCCAGUGGUGGAUCUAG